rnacentral:rRNA from 1 species
AACGUAGGUACCGAGCGUUAUCCGGAUUUACUGGGCGUAAAGCGCGUUCAGGCGGUUUGGCAAGUCGGGCAUGAAAUCUCUCGGCUCAACCGGGAGAGGUUGUCCGAUACUGCUGGACUUGAGGGCAGUAGAGGGUGGUGGAAUUUCUGGUGUAGCGGUGAAAUGCGUAGAUAUCAGAAGGAACAUCAGUGGCGAAAGCGACUUCCUGGACCAGAACUGACGAUCAGGCACGAAAGCGUGGGGAGCAAACAGG